rnacentral:rRNA from 1 species
GUCCACGCCUAACGAUGUCAACUAGUUGUUGGAGGUAACCCUCUUAGUAACGCAGCUAACGCGUGAAGUUGACCGCCUGGGGAGUACGGUCGCAAGAUUAAACUCAAGGAAUUGACGGGCCGCACAAGCGGUGGAUUAUGUGGAUUAAUUCGAUGCAACGCGAAACCUUAACCUACCCUUGACAUGUACGGAACUUGCCAGAGAUGGCUUGGUGCUCGAAAGAGAACCGUAACACAGGUGCUGCAUGGCUGUCGU